CCAGCGGCCUUCUUCACCAGUAAUAAUGUAAAUAGACCGAAAGAGCUGCAUCAGUAGAUCGUACCGACUGCAGCUGCGAGACGGAGAUUGGAAAACAGGCGAAAGGGCGACAACAAGUAUUCACUGACAGGAGGUGAAGGUGGCGACCGCAGGGUUUAUCCAGACGUCCCAGUGCGCGUAAUCUGAUCUUUUUUGCAUGUGUGCUAAUUAAUCUGCGAAGUGAAGACGGUCAUGUGCCCUUAACACGAGGGCUGCGGAGGCUAUUUCAAGCUGUUUGCGGCCUCAUCUCUCAGGCUACCGAUGAGAUAUUUGCUCGAGAGGGCCGAACAGGUGGACAGCCGGCAGGGAAAAGGGCACAAGACGCGAGGAAAGCUGUUGUUUCCCAGAGAGGAAUGUGUGUGAGCCCGGGGAUAUAUAUAUAUUUUUUUGUUUUCACCGUAAAGUUCAUCGGCUUCAGUGUGAAAGAGCUUCGGCGCUGACAAUGAUGUGUUUUAAAUGAGUCUGUGUACGCAGAGGCAACGCGAGACAACAAAGACUCCCGUGGACUCGCAGCUUGUAGUUACAGGAUUUGGGACUCAGAAACAAAAAGAAAAAUCGGAGCUCAACGUGCCGCAGACGAGGCCCAAUUAAAGAAAAUCCAGGACUGCAGCGUUGUGCUGCAGAUGUUGUAGUUUUCACCAUCUGCUCCUCCUGCCUCUGUCGCCGCACUCGUGUCUUCAUGGAUGCUGAUCGCCUCGGCCUCGGCUACGUUGCAUCCAGAGAUCGAUACUCCUCGGCUGCCAUGAUGACUGGGGGUGGAAGAAGCAACUGCUAAGCCACUCGCUCACUCACUCACUCACAGCCAAACGAGUCCCCUGGCAGAGCGAAAAGACCGAACCUGAGAAGGACAAGGAAGAAAGGAAGAAAGGAAGAAAGAAAGAAAGAAAGAAAGGAAGAAAGAAAGAAAGGAAGAAAGAGCACAAAUAAACAUAACUGCCUUUCAUCUCGCUCUGUCAAUUUCACUGGUUUCUUCAAUUGAGGAUGAAUAAUAAUAAUAAAAAAAAAAAACAACCUUUUGAUUGAAGAAUAA